GCUUACGGCCAUACCAACCUGGCUAUGCCCGAUCUCGUCUGAUCUCAGAAGCUAAGCAGGUUUGGGCCUGGUUAGUACUUGAAUGGGGAGACCGCCUGGGAAUACCAGGUGCUGUAAGCU
rnacentral:rRNA from 1 species